GACACCAAAGCUGGUGCCAUUGCAUGGGAUUCAGAAAGAGGAGCAGACCUCUUGCACUUUACAACCCAGUGGAGUGCAGAAAGGAAAAGAAACAUGCAGGAAAUUAGAGCCAUUAAAGAUGGAAAGUUAUGCUUUCUAAAAAGGUACUAAGGCCUGGCAAAGACUUGUAGGUGUGUAUUACAGGCACUGGAACUGCUCACAUGUACGUGUACACCUGGUUUCAAAAUCAGGCUUGAUUUGCGUAUGCUGGUGAGGAAAUUGAAGCACUGUUAGUGGAUUAUUUUUAACCUGCGUUCUUUCAAAACCAGGGCAAUAGAUUUCUGGGACUCAUUUGUGUAGUUCCAUCACUGUUCUCAGCUCUUCAUUACAAACCAAAGCUAAUAGGAGCUGAGAAAUUUGAAUUGAUUUUUCUUUCAAGCACAGUGAGGUUGAACAUGCCUUUUUCUGACAGCUUGUCUGAAACCACAAAAAUGUGCGAAGGGAAAAUCUGUUUCUCCUCUGGACAGGGUACAUGCAUGGGGCUGGAUGCUUGGCUGGUGAAAAUGGGCAUCUCCUCCUCAACCUGAAUGGGCCUUUUGCUGGUGCAACUCACUGGUUUCCCUUUAAACAGGGGAGACAAAACGACAUCAAACUAUUUUCUCAUGCCAGGAAAAUCUUACCCUCACCUAAAGGUGAUAAAUGACCAUGGUGUACACAGAAACCCGAAGCCCUUGCAGCGUGCCCAGCCUCUCUCGCACCUUUUGCCCAUGGACCAUGGCAGAGCAGUAUUCCCCGCCUGCGUGCCCAUCACCCGAGGAUUCCUUGAGCUCUGCCGGGAUGCUGGCACACAAACCGGGCUGCAGCACGAAGCUGAGGCAUGAGCAACGCCUGGUUCGCUUGCAGAUGGGGAAACCAAAGCCACGGUCAUCAGAAGGAAACCUUCCCCAGCGGGAUGGCCCCGCUGCUCGGCCGUGCCCCGAAACCACGGCAUGCGGGACGCCGGGGUCAGCCCGUUGCGGAGAGGUUGUCAUAAAUCUCUGCUUCUGCCCUUCUGCUAAUGGGCUGCUUUGUCCAAAGUGAGCAGGAUCCUCAGACAAUGUGAAUCAGUCUAGCUGCCCUGUGAUUGGAGCCCUGGCACUGAAUUAACCCAGAUUUCUGCCAUAGCAGUGUCCGAGAUGGGAAAUGAAGUCAUCUGCAGUAACUAGAGCUGUUUGGGAAAUGUGUUAUUU